UACGAAGGGGGCUAGCGUUGCUCGGAAUCACUGGGCGUAAAGGGUGCGUAGGCGGAUCUUUAAGUCAGGGGUGAAAUCCUGGAGCUCAACUCCAGAACUGCCUUUGAUACUGAGGAUCUCGAGUUCGGGAGAGGUGAGUGGAACUGCGAGUGUAGAGGUGAAAUUCGUAGAUAUUCGCAAGAACACCAGUGGCGAAGGCGGCCCACUGGCCCGAUACUGACGCUGAGGCACGAAAGCGUGGGGAGCAAACAGG
rnacentral:rRNA from 1 species